UACGUAGGGUGCGAGCGUUAAUCGGAAUUACUGGGCGUAAAGCGUGCGCAGGCGGUUUUGUAAGCCAGAUGUGAAAGCCCCGGGCUUAACCUGGGAAUGGCAUUUGGGACUGCAAGGCUGGAGUGUGGCAGAGGAGACUGGAAUUCCUGGUGUAGCAGUGAAAUGCGUAGAUAUCAGGAGGAAUACCGAUGGCGAAGGCGACUCACUGGCCCGAUACUGACGCUGAGGCGCGAAAGCGUGGGGAGCAAACAGG
rnacentral:rRNA from 1 species